GAAAAACACAGCAGAGCUAUAAGAAAAAAAUAAUUAAAUUUUAUUAAAUUUUAGCAUGUUAUUAUAAAAAAUUCUACAUAAUAAUCGAAUAUAUUUAGGCGGCAUUAAGUAAAAAAAAUGUCUGAAGUAAAAAUUCAAUUUCCAAUAAAAUAAAAUUAAAAAAUUCUAUUAAAUGUAAUUAAUUUAAGUGUUGUCGUCGUCGGUGAACAAAUAUUUUUUAAUUAAAUAUUAUAUUUACCAGUUAUACAUAUAUAUAUAUAUAUAUUAAAAUUAAAAUUUAAAAAAUUAUAUAAUUAUAUAUAUACAUAAUAUAAAAUGCUUAAAUAAAUUAAAAUUUCCAUUAAGUAUUUUAUAAGAAAAAAAUAUAUUAAUUAAUAUUUUCCAUUAUAUACAUACAAAAAGUGAAUUUAUUAUAAUAAAAAUACAAAUAAUUAAAAAUAAAUAAAAUAUUUCAAUCAUUUUGGAUAAUCUCAUAAACUGGAUAAUAAAAACUAAUUGAAAAUAAUAAGCGUGCACACGCAUCUCUACAAUCUUGUAUUAAAAUUACAAACAAACAAAAAAAAAACAAAAUUGCGCAUAAUUAAAUUUUAACUAGUCGCUGUAACGAUUUUUUUUCUUUAUUUUUUUUCUUGUGUUUUCUUGUUACUUUAAAGUUAUGAUAUAAAAGUAUAAGCACAUCCCUGCUCGCAUAUAAAUUACACCAAUUUCACCUCAUUUUUACAAGCUUCAAUUUAAGCAACAAAAGAAAUAAUUUACAUAUUUAGCGAAACAAAACCAAAACAAGCAAGAAAACAAAAAAAAACGAAGCAAAAUUAAAACAAAAAUCCAAAACUCAAGGAUUACAUGAACAGCAAAAUAUGAAAAUUCUUCCAAUGGCAAUUAUAUACCGUUCUAGAAAAUUUUUAAAAAGACUUUGAGAAAGAGAGAAAAACCAUAUUGUAUAAAACGUGAAGCAAAAUUGAUUUUAAAGUUAACAAAAAU